rnacentral:tRNA from 1 species
UCCCUGGUGGCUCAGAUGAUAAAGAAUCUGCCUGCCAUGCAGAAGACCCAGGUUCAAUUCCUGGUUUGGGAA